CCUACGGGGGGCAGCAGUGGGGAAUAUUGCACAAUGGGCGUAACCCUGAUGCAGCGACGCCGCGUGAGUGAAGAAGUAUCUCGGUACGUUAAGCUCUAUCAGCAGGGAAGAAAAUGACGGUACCUGACUAAGAAGCUCCGUAUAACUACGUGCCAGCAGCCGCGGUAAUACGUAGGGGGCAAGAGUUAUCCGGAUUUACUGGGUGUAAGGGGAGCGUAGACGGCAGGACAAGUCUGGAGUGAAAGCCCGGGGCUUAACCCCGGAACUGCUUUGGAAACUGUGCGGCUGGAGUGCAGGAGGGGUAAGCGGAAGUCGUAGUGUAGCGGUGAAAUGCGUAGAUAUUAGGAGGAACACCGGUGGCGAAGGCGGCAUACUGGACUGUAACUGACGUUGAGGCUCGAAAGCGUGGGGAGCAAACAGGAUUAGAUACCCUUGUAGUC
rnacentral:rRNA from 1 species